rnacentral:rRNA from 1 species
UACGGGGGGGGCAAGCGUUGUUCGGAAUUACUGGGCGUAAAGGGCUCGUAGGUGGCCAACUAAGUCAGACGUGAAAUCCCCAGGCUUAACCUGGGAACUGCAUCCGAUACUGGAUGGCUUGAAUCCGGGAGAGGGAUGCAGAAUUCCAGGUGUAGCGGUGAAAUGCGUAGAUAUCUGGAGGAAUACCGGGGGCGAAGGCGGCAUCCUGGGCCGGCAUUGACGCUGAGUGAGCGAAAGCCAGGGGAGCAAACGGG